GUUGUAUGGUUAAGUGACUAAGCGUACACGGUGGAUGCCUUGGCAGUCAGAGGCGAUGAAAGACGUAGUAACUUGCGAUAAGCCCAGAUUAGGUAGUAACAACCAUUUGAGUCUGGGAUUUCUGAAUGGGGAAACCCACGUGCAUAAGCACGUAUCCUUACCUGAAUACAUAGGGUAAGGAGGCGAACCGGGGGAACUGAAACAUCUAAGUACCCCGAGGAAAAGAAAUCAACCGAGAUUCCGAAAGUAGCGGCGAGCGAAAUUGGACUAGCCCUUAAGCUUUACACGCGUUAGACGAACGGUCUGGAAAGUCCGACGAUACAGGGUGAUAGUCCCGUAGUUGACGACGUGUGUUCAGUGAAAUCGAGUAGGGCGGGACACGUGAUAUCCUGUCUGAAUAUGGGGGGACCAUCCUCCAAGGCUAAAUACUACUGACUGACCGAUAGUGAACCAGUACCGUGAGGGAAAGGCGAAAAGAACCCCUGUGAGGGGAGUGAAAUAGAACCUGAAACCGUGUACGUACAAGCAGUAGGAGCAGGCUUUGUCCUGUGACUGCGUACCUUUUGUAUAAUGGGUCAGCGACUUAUAUUCAGUGGCAAGGUUAACCAUCUAGGGGAGCCGUAGGGAAACCGAGUCUUAACUGGGCGUUCAGUCUCUGGAUAUAGACCCGAAACCAGGUGAUCUAGCCAUGGGCAGGUUGAAGGUUGAGUAACAUCAACUGGAGGACCGAACCGACUAAUGUUGAAAAAUUAGCGGAUGACUUGUGGCUAGGGGUGAAAGGCCAAUCAAACCUGGAGAUAGCUGGUUCUCCCCGAAAGCUAUUUAGGUAGCGCCUCGGACGAAUACUACUGGGGGUAGAGCACUGUUAAGGCUAGGGGGUCAUCCCGACUUACCAACCCUUUGCAAACUCCGAAUACCAGUAAGUACUAUCCGGGAGACACACGGCGGGUGCUAACGUCCGUCGUGGAGAGGGAAACAACCCAGACCGCCAGCUAAGGUCCCAAAUUACUACUAAGUGGGAAACGAUGUGGGAAGGCUCAGACAGCCAGGAUGUUGGCUUAGAAGCAGCCAUCAUUUAAAGAAAGCGUAAUAGCUCACUGGUCGAGUCGGCCUGCGCGGAAGAUGUAACGGGGCUAAGUAGUAAACCGAAGCUGCGGCAAUGUGCUUUUGCACAUUGGGUAGGGGAGCGUUCUGUAAGCGGUUGAAGGUGUGUGGUAACGCAUGCUGGACGUAUCAGAAGUGCGAAUGCUGACAUGAGUAACGAUAAAGGGGGUGAAAAACCUCCUCGCCGGAAGACCAAGGGUUCCUGUCCAACGUUAAUCGGGGCAGGGUAAGUCGACCCCUAAGGCGAGGCCGAAAGGCGUAGUCGAUGGGAAACGGGUUAAUAUUCCCGUACUUCUUACAAUUGCGAUGGGGGGACGGAGAAGGCUAGGUGGGCCUGGCGACGGUUGUCCAGGUUCAAGUGCGUAGGCUUAAGAGUUAGGUAAAUCCGGCUCUUUUUAAGGCUGAGACACGACGUCGAGCACCUACGGGUGUGAAGUCAUUGAUGCCAUGCUUCCAGGAAAAGCCUCUAAGCUUCAGAUUGUAAGGAAUCGUACCCCAAACCGACACAGGUGGUCGGGUAGAGAAUACCAAGGCGCUUGAGAGAACUCGGGUGAAGGAACUAGGCAAAAUGGUACCGUAACUUCGGGAGAAGGUACGCUCUUGAUGGUGAAGUCCCUCGCGGAUGGAGCUGACGAGAGUCGCAGAUACCAGGUGGCUGCAACUGUUUAUUAAAAACACAGCACUGUGCAAAAUCGUAAGAUGACGUAUACGGUGUGACGCCUGCCCGGUGCCGGAAGGUUAAUUGAUGGGGUUAGACUUCGGUCGAAGCUCUUGAUCGAAGCCCCGGUAAACGGCGGCCGUAACUAUAACGGUCCUAAGGUAGCGAAAUUCCUUGUCGGGUAAGUUCCGACCUGCACGAAUGGCGUAAUGAUGGCCACGCUGUCUCCACCCGAGACUCAGUGAAAUUGAAAUCGCUGUGAAGAUGCAGUGUACCCGCGGCUAGACGGAAAGACCCCGUGAACCUUUACUACAGCUUGGCACUGAACAUUGACCCUACAUGUGUAGGAUAGGUGGGAGGCUUUGAAGCACGUACGCCAGUAUGUGUGGAGCCGUCCUUGAAAUACCACCCUUGUAGUGUUGAUGUUCUAACGUCGACCCCUGAUCGGGGUUGCGGACAGUGCCUGGUGGGUAGUUUGACUGGGGCGGUCUCCUCCCAAAGAGUAACGGAGGAGCACGAAGGUGGGCUAAUCACGGUUGGACAUCGUGAGGUUAGUGCAAUGGCAUAAGCCCGCUUGACUGCGAGAAUGACAAUUCGAGCAGGUGCGAAAGCAGGUCAUAGUGAUCCGGUGGUUCUGAAUGGAAGGGCCAUCGCUCAACGGAUAAAAGGUACUCCGGGGAUAACAGGCUGAUACCGCCCAAGAGUUCAUAUCGACGGCGGUGUUUGGCACCUCGAUGUCGGCUCAUCACAUCCUGGGGCUGAAGUCGGUCCCAAGGGUAUGGCUGUUCGCCAUUUAAAGUGGUACGCGAGCUGGGUUUAGAACGUCGUGAGACAGUUCGGUCCCUAUCUGCCGUGGGCGUUGGAAGAUUGAAGGGGGCUGCUCCUAGUACGAGAGGACCGGAGUGGACGAACCUCUGGUGUUCGGGUUGUGUCGCCAGACGCAUUGCCCGGUAGCUAAGUUCGGAAUCGAUAACCGCUGAAAGCAUCUAAGCGGGAAGCGAGCCCUGAGAUGAGUCUUCCCUGAUACUUUAAGUAUCCUAAAGGGUUGUCGGAGACUACGACGUUGAUAGGUCAGGUGUGUAAGUGCUGUGAGGCAUUGAGCUAACUGAUACUAAUUGCCCGUGAGGCUUAACCAUACAACACCCAAGGGGUUU
rnacentral:rRNA from 1 species